CGGGGCCGGAACACUGCCUGAGA
rnacentral:miRNA from 1 species